AUGUGUUCCUUUGACCUUCUUACACAAGCGCCUUUUGAAAGAAAUCCCUCAACAAAGACUCAAGAAAGAAUCCGUAAAGUUUGGGGAAAGCAUUGUCUGUCACUGAUAAGUGACAGCAGGUCUGGCUGCCGGGGAUACACUCCGCUGACCCUAAGGAAGAGCCGAGACUCGAAACAAAAUUCGCCACUUUUGUUAUCUAGAAAAUUUGGCGGAGAGGUGAUAAAGCUCCAUGACCAACGACGUGACUCUGAUGGACGAAUUAAUACAGACGGCGGAGGAGCGCCACGGGUUUCGGCUACGCUUCUGCCGUUUUUGAAAGAAAAGCUAAUUGUUAGCGGCCAUGUGACAUUACAGGAGCCCAGAAAGGAAAGGGUGGGAGGGAGGGAGAGGAGUUCAAGGCAGUUCAGGGUCAGAGCGAGCUCAGGCAUCCUGUCAUUAGCUCACGCUCCCCGCAGGCUGGAGGCAAAACACUGCUUACCCGAAAAAGGAGUGGGUGAGAAGUGGGCAGAGAACGGUGGGGAGAGAACGCGGGGGGGGGGGGGGCACGCGGCGGCGAGGGGCGGGGGGCGGGGGACCCGGGGCCAGCCCGCGGACUUGGGGAGCGAAGGCACCGGCCACAAAAACGCUGAGAAAAGCAACUGCCACGGAGACGACAACCCCGGGCGGCUGCCCAGGCCCCCUCCCCGCCGGCUCCCCGGGUUUCCCGCACUCGCGGCCCCUCCGCCGCGGCCCCGCGCUCAGGGGUGUGACCCGCCGGCGGGAGGCCGCGCUCAGCUUUGUCUCGGCGGCUCCCCACGCGCGGGCUCCCGCUCCUCCCCCGCGCCCGCCACCCGCUCACACCCCCCGCGUCUCCAAGGAGCUGGGAGCGCCGCGGCCGCCGCCGCCGCCGCCGCCGCCGCCGCCUCCGCCUCGUCGCCCACCUCCCGCAGCCUCGCGCCCUUCCUUCCCCGCGGCCCCGCCCCCGCCCCCGCCCCCGCCGGGGGGAAUCUGUGUCUCGGGGGACUUUCGGCCUCCUCGCGCCCCCCCGCCUCCCCCGGGGUCCAGGUGGGCAGCGAGCCCCGGGGGUGGCGGCGACCGCGCGCGCCUCCGCGAAGGAGCCCGUCACCUCCCCACAGCCCAGCCCAGCCCAGCCCAGCCCCGGAAAUGCCCCGGCGCCCCGGGGAUCGCGCGCGGGGCCGGGGGCCACCGGCACCCGCGAGCCCCCCCGGCCGCGCCUGCCUCUCUCAACUUCCCGGCCGGGCCUGA
rnacentral:lncRNA from 1 species